CACAUCCCUGGACCCACUGCCCCGGGCUGAGGAGCCCAGGCUGACACUGGGGAUGGCAGCACAGCCCCGUCCUGCUGCUGAGCACCCACCCGAGCACCCCCAGGGCCCCCCGGCUGCAGGCAGAGGAACAUUCUGGGUUCCUUGCUCUGUGGCCCUCCGGCUCAGCACUGCCCAGCAGGGACCACCACAGACCACUGGCCCAGCAGGGACCACCACCCCAGCGUGUCCCAGUGUCCCCAGCAUGGACCGUCACUGCCCCCAGUGUGGACCACCAUGGCCCACCACCCCACACCCGUCCCGCUGCCCCAGCACAGCCCCUUGGCCUCCAGGACAGCAGCAGGACAGAGGACAGGUUUGGGCAGGUGGCCCUGAGCCCAAAUAACACCCUGAGGCCACACCCAGACCUGGCUGCACACCCCCCAUGGGGGCCCAGCCCCCCUCCUGCCCCGGGGUGUCACCACACCCCGACUGACCAGCGGGGACACUGAGGGGGUGACAGAGGUUUGUCUGAGCUGAGCAGGGACUCGCAGCUGAUCCUGGAGGGAAUCAACCAUGUGAGGGGCAUCUGCAAAUCCUGGGAAUCACCUGGUGCUGCCCCUGCCUUGGAGUCUCCACCUUCAGCAGGUUUGGGGAUGACAGCAAGGACCAAGCCCUCCGAGGAGAAAUCCCAUGGAGUGGAGCCGGACAGCCCAGCCCAGAGGGAAGGGAUGAUCCAGGAGGAGGCUCAUGGCUUGUGCAAGGAGAGGUGAGAAGCUCCAGGGCAGUGCCAGGAGAGCUGAAUGAUGCAGAGGGAGGUGCACAAGGAGGAGCCAGUCCCCCAGGGAAGGAUGAGGGAAAGGUGGCAAAAGUCAUAUUUCACAGUAGUCUUGGGUGGGGAAAAAAAACACUUUAUUUUCCAAAUUUGGCACAUGCUGCUGCCUCCUCCCUGCCCAUGGUGUCCCAGCAGAGUCCAGGAGUGGAGGAUGUCAGCAGAGCAACCCACCACUGAUGCCCCAGCAGCUGCUGACCCCAAGAAACCUGAAUAAUCCAUAGAAACCUUCUAGAAAGCAGGAAACCCCAGGAGAUGAGCUGUCUUCCCUCUGGCAGAAACAUGGCCCAGGCACAAGAAUUUCAGCUGUCAUUAGAAAGGACUUGAGAAAGACACAGACACACAGAGACACAGGGGGUGUUUCCCUCCCUUUUAAUUCUCACCCCGUGCUCCCUCGAGUCACUGACUGGCAGAAAUAAAAUAAAAUGAAAUAAAUAAUAAAAU